AGAAAAUAAUUCCAUUAUAGAGGAAAUAAUAUAUGCCUUGUACAUGCAAAUGAUUACAAGGUUUAUUAACUCAACAUAGAAGCCAAAUAGUUAAACAGUCCCCCAAAAGAGCAUGUUGAUUUUAGAUGAACUAGAGUGUCGAUUGGAAAUGCUCUAAUUAAUGAGUAAUAGCUUGCCGGCGUUUCUCUUGCUUCACCUGCUUGUAUUGGAUCAUCUUGCUGCUGUAAACCCCUAGCUCUUGCUUUGCUGAUAGAGAAAUAAAGAAACUUGAAUCAUCUCUAGCAUCUCCCAUCUAGCUAGGGUAUAGGAGAGGAAGGUAUUGAAAUGAAGGAAAAAGAAGUUGAGAAACAUAUAUAAGCAUUUCUGCCAUCUUGUGGAUAUUUCACUGGAGCAUGUAGGUUGAUAGAAUGUGUGCGUUCACUCUCAGUCAAUGGACCAGGUCCUUUGACUCAACAAGAACAAUAACGAAGAGUAAAUAAUAGCAAGAACACAACACCAACAGUUUACGUAGAAACCUCCUUGCUCAAGGGAGUAAAACCACAACCUGUCACACAAGAUUUUCAACUGUUUUCACUAAUCUUCCUUAAGUAAAAGUGAAACCCAGUUACAACCAAAGUGAGAAAAAGUUAUUAAUCUCACAACCAAGUAAUAACUCUAUUACUUGAAGAGCCUAAGCAGAUGUCACUCUGCCCACUAAGCUAUCACCAUUAGACAACUUAGAAUUUGACUAAGCAACACGCAGGUUGCCCACUAAACCACCACGCUUCGGAUGACUUAGACUUUAACUAAGCAGCACACACGGCUGCCCAACUAAAUCAGUUAGACUUAACUGAUUUAGAAUUUUUCACGAAGUAACUAUCUGAAUCCUUUAUAGAUGUAGGAACAGAUUUACAAUGGUCAUGCAGAAGAUAUAAUCCUAAGACAACUAAGAUUGCAGCUCUAUCUGGUUCGAGUUGAUCUUGAGAAUGAAUCUUCACCUUUUGUAUUAGACUUUGCAAGAGUUCUUGAGAAUUUUUGUUCAAGUUACAAAAACUAAGAUUGUGACUAUUGGACAUAUUCUUUAUGAAGAAUAGUGACAACCUUCAAGACCCUGCCAUUGGUUGAGGAUUCUGCCACUUCUGCCACAGUUGAAGACUAUGCACCAACUAAUUGUACUUUUUUCCAACCUGGCAGUUGUGUGUAUAUUUGCGCCGGAUCAGGUCUCUUUACAAGGUCCCUGGGUUUAUCAAAUCAUCAAAACUAUAACUAACAUUUUCUCCCUUUUUGAUGAUGACAAACUAUUCACACAGUACCCCUAUUAAUUACAAUUUCUUCCCCCUGUCAACAACACCUUAUUCUAUUUAUUCCCCUGUCAACCAACACCAGCCCUAAGCACCCAAUGCCAGCCCUAAACACCCAACGAUUCCCCCUUUUGGCAUCAUAAAAAGAAGUGCGUAAACCAACAUAACAAGUAGGUUUGUUAAGCAAGAUCAUAGCCAAAGGCAACAACAUCAUGAUUCUAAAAACAAGAAGAGAUAGAAAUUAGUCACAACAAAAACAGGAAUCAAUUUCAUAGCACAAAAGCCAGCAUUCAAUACAUUUAAGUUAAACUGAAAUUGAGAACCCUGAACACUAUCCACACAAAAAUAAAGACACGGGAAAGGACUAUGAGGAAGGAGGCUGAUGGGAAAGGGACUUGAUGAUAAGAGUGAGUCUAGUAUUUGCUUCGUCAUUGUCCUUGAUCGCUUUCUCUUAAAGAGCAGCAAUUUUGGCAAGGAGCGCCUCAUUUUGUUUCUUCAGCUCUCUAACUUCUAUAGUACCAGGUCCCUCUGUCUGUGCCUUGAGCAAUGCAUCUUUUAGUAUAGUAAUUUCAGCAUCUCUAGUGCUCACACGCACAGUCAUUUCUUCCAACUCACGUUUCAGCUGAUCCUGUUCCAUUAUCAGCUGAGAUACCUUGCUCAAUGGAUUUCCCUUUCCUUCUAUCCACUCACAUUCCACCAGUGUACUGAGCGUGAAGGAUUGUUUAGCAGUUCCAAUUUUACAUGCUCCCACUGGGAUGUUCAGAUGAUGAAACACCUUGGUCAAAAAGUAGCCAUAUCCCAUUCCAUGGUUGCCCUUGUGUUCAACCACAGUCUUGUACAUGUGCUCUGGCAUGAGGGCUGGAAGAUCUAUGGGAUCAAACUUGCAAAGUGACUCUAUGAUGAAUAGAUUAGAUGCAGAAGCGACAAUUCGUUUCUAUGUUCGAGGAAGAAGUACCUUGUUGACAAAUUCAAACAGCAGCUGGUACUCACCUUUCAUGAGUUUUUUUUGAAUCCCAGCAUGUAGUAUGUUGGGGAUUUUAGAGCAUUCUUUGACAAACUCCACAGUGCAAGUUUUUCCAACGAUGGAUCUGGUCCCUUCUCUCGGUACCUCCAGUAUUUUCCCCAUCAGGUCCUCAGUCAGAUGCAAACUUUUGUUCCCUACCCUAUUGUUUAAGCUACCAUCCUUUUCAAACUCAAUGCUAUAGUAAAACUCUCGUACCUCUUCCUCAUGUAAAACGGGUGAUUUGGUUUGGAACAAGUGAGUCCACGACUGGAUUUCCACGAGAUCAUACAGAGAAUUCACCCCAUGCUUGGUGAUGAUGUCAGGGUCAAACACUCGACCUCCUGGAACCCUCUGGAGACAUUGACAAUUGACUGUUUGCUUUCUCCGUGGUCAUCCUCAUGUCCCAUGGGACCAGGUCCCUUUCCAGAUGCUGGUUUGAUGGCAGGAGAGGUUUCUCUCUUCCUCUUAUUCUUCCCCUUUUUGGACACAACCCUUGUUGCCACAGAUGCUUUAGACUUUCCCUUUCCUUGACUCUUUCCCUUACUAGGCUUCUUUACUAGUUUUUCCCCUUUUUCUUCAGAACUUUUUCCCACACCGUCAUGUUUAGAAUAUUCAAUGGAGAUAUCCACCACAUCAGUGUCAGGUAUCUCGAAGAGUACAUUACCCAAUUUCACAGCAUCACCCAUCAGUUUUUUUGAAUCAGAUUUAGUAAAAGGCCAGUUUUAGGUGUCUCCUCGGUGACCUUCUCAUUUCCUUUUGUGGAGACAGGGACCAUUUUCUUUUGAACAAUCCAUCGGAGGGGGCAAUUAUCCUCGUCAUUAUCAGUAGAAUCGAACGAAGGGUAGACACCAAACUCAAGAGUUUGGUCAAACACUGGUUGAGAACCCCCAAGAAAAUCGUCCCCAAACUGUUCUCCUUCUUCACUUAGUAUCACUUCCUUCAUCUAGGUUAGACUCUUGACGACUAGGCUCUCACUGGCUGCGAGAAUAUUUGACUCACACGAUUUAUUCUAGGGAAGGUCUCCCUCAAAUAAGUGGUCGGACAACAUGACAGAACAGGGAUCAGGUUCAGGUGUUGGGUUAUUGAGGUCUAAGGGAGACUGGGGAUUAAAAUGGCUGGUGUCACCAAUGUUGAUCGGAGAGAUGGUCGACAUUUUGGAAGGAGACGGAGCAUCGGAAGAUGUGUAAAAUGCCACUGGGUCUAUUUCAUUUAGUGAGUCUAGCAUUUUCUUUGAAGAAGAUAGGGAUUGAGACAUUUUGUUUGAGAGAAAGAGAUGAAGAGUGACAGAGAGAGAGUGAGAGAGAAGGAGGAAUAGGGGUUUUGGCUAAAAGCUUUAGAGAAAAAGAGAUUUGAAAAGUGGAGAGAUGGAGUGAAGAAAAGUCUUAUUAAAAAGAACUUGAAACGAUGUGUCAGGUCCCUGAGUAGACGCGUCGCUUGGACUUAAAGCGAUGGGACAACAGUCAGAAGGACCGAUGACUGACACAUGGAAAUCUCAACAGUUCUCAUUCAAUCAGUUUAAGCGAAAUGUACAGGAUGCUAACCUUGAGAGGGACCAGGUCCUCAACUGCAGAUGAGAUUUGAUUCCUGAAUGGUUCUGACCAUUCUUUGCUUCUCCGAUUUCCAUGAGUGUAUACCUGCAAUAGGUACAUAGUUGAUCUCACUUAAAUAAUACAUUAUGAGUAAUGAGGAUACUUGUCCUCUAGAUCAUAGCCAAAACAGGGAUUGGAUGCCUUUGGAUGGGAUUAGGUUAGUGCAUAUUCAUCAUUCCCAACUUCAACCUGUUACUCUCAAAUUGAUCCUUGCUGAGAGCCUUGGUAAAAAUAUCUGCAAUUUGAUCUUCUAUCCUGCAAUACUGCAUUCUGAUGUUUCCUUUUUCAACAUUGUCUCUCAAGAAGUGAUGUCUGACAUCAAUGUGCUUUGUUCUUUUGUGAUGAACUAGAUUCUUUCCCAUGUUGACUGCACCGGUAUUGUCACACGUGAGAGGAAUAAUAUAGAUAUGAGCUCCAAAAUCUUCAACUUGUUGCUUGAUCCAUAGUAGUUGAGCACAACAAGAUGCAACAACUACAUAUUCUGCCUCAGCUGUUGAAAAAGCUAUUGAAUUUUGUUUCUUGGUACCCCGUGAGAUGAGUGAGGAUCCAAGAAAAUGUGUCAUUCUAGAGGUACUCUUCCUGUCAACCUGAUAUCCUGCAAAGUCAGCAUCUGCAUACCCUACUAGUUCAAAGGAGUCACAUGUCGGAUAGAACAGGACCACGUCCCAUAUCUUCUUUAGAUACCUCAAAAUCCGCUUGACAGCCUUCAGAUGUGAUUCCAACAAGCCUAUUUCAGCACCAGACAGUUCGAAAGAUUUCAUUGGCUUUCAAUAAACUCAACGGUGAAAUGUGGAAAGGUCCAUGGUAUGUACCCGAACUUAGAGUCUUAAAUCUACGGAAUAAUAGCCUCACGGGUAUAAUCCCUCCUUAUGUUGGAAAUGCCACAAAAUUGAUGAACUUCGAUUUGUCUGGGAAUAGAAUCAAUGGUAGCAUUCCAAUGGAGAUUGGUAAUAUUAGCCAACUUACAGAGUUGUUCUUGGACGACAAUGAAUUAACAGGUCCCAUUCCUGCAACACUGUUUAAUAUCUCAUCGCUACUUAACGUAGCUCUUGGAAUCAACAGCCUUUUUGGUCCUCUCUUGCUGGAUGAAGGAAUUAUUGUCUCAAAUCUGAAGUUUUUAAGCAUAUCUAACAACCAAAUUUCUGGUUGCAUUCCUUCAAACAUAUGCCAACUCACAGAGCUCAAAGUUUUGUCCAUAUCUUUCAACAACAUAACGGGAGACAUACCAAGAAAUAUUGGUUGUUUAUCCAAGCUCGAGGGGUUUUAUAUUGGAUAUAAUCCAAUAAAAGGGACUAUUCCCACUUCAUUGGGCAAUAUUUCCACUCUGCAAAAUCUUUAUUGUGGAAACAAUGGCAUAUUGGGACAAAUUCCUCCGGAAUUAGGGAAGCUAUCAAAUUUGAGGGAAUUAAGCUUUGACUCUAAUUAUAAUCUUAUUGGUCCAAUUCCAGAGGCUAUUUUCAACAUAUCUUCUUUGGAAAUCAUUGAUUUCAGUUUCAAUAACCUCUCUGGUAGAAUUCCAACCACUACAGGUUUCAUCUUCCAAACCUUAAAGGACUUGACUUGGGAGUCAAUCAGCUUGAAGGGGAAAUUCCAUUGUUCAUAACAAAUGCUUCCAAGCUUGAGAUACUGUCACUAGUACAGAACUUUCUCACAGGAACUAUUCCUACUAAUUUGGGAAAUCUUCGUGAGUUGCUAUCACUGUUCCUGCAUACUAAUCAACUUACCAAUGAACCAAGAGAACAUGAGUUGCGAUUCUUCAAUUCUUUGGCGGACUGUAGAAUGUUGAAAUAUCUACAAGUGGGAUUCAAUCCAUUGAAUGGCGUUCUGCCCAAUUCUAUUGGGAAUCUUUCAUCUACUAUUGAAAACUUUGAAAUAGGAGAUUCACACAUCAAUGGUCUCAUCCCCACAAGUAUAGGCAACAUGAGUGGACUUACAGCGCCUAAUCUUUGAAGAAAACAGCUUCACUGGGAGUAUUCCUUCUGAGAUUGGUUCAAUUAAACAACUCCAAGGGCUGUCUCUAUUUAACAAUAAAUUGCAGGGACAUAUUCCAGAGGCGGUAUGCCAUUUAUCUAAUUUAUAUCUAUUAUAUCUACAUAAUAAUGAGCUCUCUGGAUCAAUUCCAGAAUGCUUAGGAAAUCUUAGCAUGCUACAACAUCUUUAUUUGGGUUCUAAUAAAUUAUCAUCAACAUUUCCGUUGAGCCUUUGGAAAUAUGAGUGGUCUUCUCUAUCUAGACGUGUCACAGAAUUCAAUAGAGGGAGAAGUUCCAUCAGAUAUUGCUGGACUGAAAGCCAUUGUAGAACUACAUCUUUCCUAUAACCACUUUUCAGGCAUGAUACCAAGCCAAUUGGGGGACCUCCAAAACUUGAAGUCUCUUGACUUGUCGAACAAUUCGUUUUCAGGCUCAAUUCCAUUAUCCUUUGCCAACUUGAUAAGCUUGGAAUUCUUGAAUUUGUCUUUAAAUGACUUGUCAGGUACUAUCCCUAUGUCUUUGGAAAAACUCUCAUCCCUUAAAAGCAUUAAUGUUUCAUUUAAUGGUUUGGAAGGUGUAAUACCCAUUGGUGGUGUGUUUUCAAAUUCCACUCUACAAUCAUUUCUCGGGAACAAAGGUCUAUGUGGAAUGCACAUAUUGGAGAUUCCUGCUUGCACUAUCACUAAUCCAGGAAAACAAUCAAAGCUUAAGGAGGUUGUGCUAAAAAUUGUUACUCCAGUGGUUAUUUCAUCCUUUCUAAUAUUCUUGUUGGUUUCAAUUUGGAUAAUGAAACGAAAGAAGAAAGGAAAGUCCAAGGAAGUGGAAAAGGUACCGGAGAUCAAGACUCAUCAAUUAGUUUCUUAUCACGAGAUUCAACGAGCAACAAAUAACUUUGAUAGGUCAAAUUUAAUUGGUGAGGGCAGCUCUGGCUCUGUGUACAAAGGCACAUUAUCUAGUGGAACUGUGGUGGCAAUAAAGGUUCUGGAUUUGGAAAAUGAGCAAGUAUGCAAGAGGUUUGAUACUGAAUGUGAAGUGAUGAGAAAUGUUAGACACAGAAAUCUUGUCCCUGUGAUUACUACUUGUUCUAGUGACUAUAUAAGAGCCUUUCUUCUGAAAUAUAUGUCCAACGGGAGCCUUGAGAAUUGGUUGUACAGAGAAGAGUCCCACUUGAACCUACUCCAAAGAAUCACUAUAACGCUUGAUGUGGCUGUGGCAAUCGAAUAUCUACACCAUGGUCAUAACACUCUGAUAGUUCAUUGCGACCUAAAGCCAGCCAACGUUCUUUUGGAUGAAGAUAUGGUGGCUCAUGUUGGUGAUUUUGGAAUCUCUAAAAUUUUAGUCGUAAGCAAGUCCAUGGCACAUACCGAGACAUUGGGCACUCUUGGAUAUAUUGCACCAGGUAAACGAGUCUCUUUCUAUUUUCAGAAAAAUCACAAUUGAGCCCUUCCAAAUUCUAGAACUAAAUAAAAGCAAGUGUCUGUUAAUACAUAAUUAUUGUUAUAUUCAAAUGAGUAAUUCUUUUUCAUUUUUCUUCUUUUAAGAAUAUGGCUUAGAAGGAAUAGUGUCUGCUAGUGGUGAUGUUUACAGUUACGGCAUCAUGUUGAUGGAGGUUUUGACCAAAAGAAGGCCAACAGAUGAAGUGAUAUGCAAUGAAAAUCUUGACAUGAGGAAGUGGAUCACACAAUCAUUUUCAGGGACUAUGAUGGACGUUGUGGAUGCCAAUAUUUUCUCUGAGGAAGAACAAGUCACUUCUAAAAGUGAAAUCUGCAUAGCCUCCAUGAUAGAAUUGGCUUUAGACUGCACAACGGAAAUGCCAGAAUCAAGAAUUACCAUGAAAGAUGUAGUCAAGAGGCUUACCAAAAUCAAGAACACAUGGGCCACGAGGGGUUAGCAUAGAAGUUAGCAUCUCUUCCGAUGGUGUUCUUUUCUGAGCUACAAGUUGCUUUUUGUUUACCUGGUUUCUUUAGUCGUUUGUACUACCUGGAGACAUGUACUGUUUGUACUUGAGAGUGUGAUUUCAUAUUUGAGUAGUUUUGAACCUGUUUCACUUUCUUUAUUUGUAGCUAUGCUUUGAAUGCUUGAAUAAACUAGAAUUAAAUUAAAAAGUUGAAUAUUAUUUGUACUUAAAUGACCACAGGACUUGAAUUUUUCCAAUAUUGGAACUUUCUUUUUCCAGCCUGCCUACAGGUGUUGUGGAAUUUGUUAACCGCAAUUUGUCAAGUCAAAAAGUAAAGACUUUCCACAGUGGUUGAUUUGGAAGAACUUCUGAGAAGGAGAUUAUUAUUAUUAUUAUUAUUAUUUUAAAUGAAGAAGUAUUAUGAAGUUGUUUAGCAGCACUAUUUUGCUUUCUGUUUGCAACUUUGGGAGAAACUUUGGUAUACUUGAAAAACAGAAAACAGAUACAAGCAAAUAUUAGUGCACCCAUAUGCAACAACACAGUAAAUUACCUGAUGGGAAAAAGUGACAGACAG
rnacentral:lncRNA from 1 species